CCUACGGGGUCAGCAGUAGGGAAUCUUCCACAAUGGGCGAAAGCCUGAUGGAGCAACGCCGCGUGGGUGAAGAAGGUCUUCGGAUCGUAAAACCCUGUUGUUAGAGAAGAAAGUGCGUUAGAGUAACUGUUCACGUUUCGACGGUAUCUAACCAGAAAGCCACGGCUAACUAGGGGCCAGCAGCCCGGGUAAUACGUAGGUGGCAAGCGUUAUCCGGAUUUUUUGGGCGUAAAGGGACCGCGGGGGGUCUUUUAAGUCGGAUGUGAAAGCCUUCGGUUUAACCGGAGUAGUGCAUUGGACACUGGGAGACUUGAGUGCAGAAGAGGAGAGUGGAACUCCAUGUGUAGCGGUGAAAUGCGUAGAUAUAUGGAAGAACCAGUGGCGAAAGCGGCUCUCUGGUCUGUAACUGACGCUGAGGUUCGAAAGCGUGGGUAGCAAACAGGAUUAGAUACCCUUGUAGUC
rnacentral:rRNA from 1 species